GAUGAACGCUAGCGGCAGGCUUAAUACAUGCAAGUCGAGGGGUAGCAAGAUUGUAGCAAUACAAUUGUUGACGACCGGCAAACGGGUGCGGAACACGUACACAACCUUCCUACAAGUGGGGAAUAGCCCAGAGAAAUUUGGAUUAAUACCCCGUAACAUAGCGAUGUGGCAUCACAUUGCUAUUAUGGCUUCGGCGCUUGUUGAUGGGUGUGCGGCUGAUUAGAUAGUUGGCGGGGUAGCGGCCCACCAAGUCUACGAUCAGUAGCUGAUGUGAGAGCAUGAUCAGCCACACGGGCACUGAGACACGGGCCCGACUCCUACGGGAGGCAGCAGUAAGGAAUAUUGGACAAUGGACGCAAGUCUGAUCCAGCCAUGCCGCGUGAAGGAUUAAGGUCCUCUGGAUUGUAAACUUCUUUUAUAAGGGACGAAAAAAGGUCUUUCUAGAUCGUCUGACGGUACCUUAUGAAUAAGCACCGGCUAACUCCGUGCCAGCCGCCGCCGUAAGAC
rnacentral:rRNA from 1 species